rnacentral:misc_RNA from 1 species
CUUUUUAUUUGGGCAUGCCCACUUUCGGGAUCAUGCCGUUACUCGCCGCCUUUGUAGACGCGGGUAUAGCGCCGGCCGAGACUGGUCAGCACUUCAUAGCCGAUGGUGCCGAAGUGGUGCGCGAGCGUAUCGACAGUGAUCUCGUUGUUGAGGAGUGACACCAGCGUGCCGCGCCGGGUUGCGCCGNNNNNNNNNNNNNUGAUGUCGAUCGCCAUCAGAUCCAUCGAGAUCCGCCCGGCGAUCGGGCAACGUUUCCCGGC